AUACGUAGGGUGCAAGCGUUAAUCGGAAUUACUGGGCGUAAAGCGUGCGCAGGCGGUUUUGUAAGACAGUGGUGAAAUCCCCGGGCUCAAACUGGGAACUGCCAUUGUGACUGCAAGGCUGGAGUGCGGCAGAGGGGGAUGGAAUUCCGCGUGUAGCAGUGAAAUGCGUAGAUAUGCGGAGGAACACCGAUGGCGAAGGCAAUCCCCUGGGCCUGCACUGACGCUCAUGCACGAAAGCGUGGGGAGCAAACAGGAUUAGAUACCCUGGUAGUCCACGCCCUAAACGAUGUCAACUGGUUGUUGGGGAUUUAUUUUCUCAGUAACGAAGCUAACGCGUGAAGUUGACCGCCUGGGGAGUACGGCCGCAAGGUUAAAACUCAAAGGAAUUGACGGGG
rnacentral:rRNA from 1 species